UACAGAGGUCCCAAGCGUUGUUCGGAUUCAUUGGGCGUAAAGGGUGCGUAGGCGGCGCGGUAAGUCGGGUGUGAAAUCUCGGAGCUUAACUCCGAAACUGCAUUCGAUACUGCCGUGCUUGAGGACUGGAGAGGAGACUGGAAUUCCGGGUGUAGCGGUGGAAUGCGUAGAGAUCCGGAGGAAGACCGGUGGCGAAGGCGGCCUGCUGGGCAGUUACUGACACUGAGGCGCGACAGCGUGGGAAGCAAACAGG
rnacentral:rRNA from 1 species